rnacentral:rRNA from 1 species
CGGGGUGCACCAGGCGCGAAAACUCUACAAUGCAGGCAACUGCGAUAGGGGAACAUCGAGUGGCGUCCAUAUUGGAUGUCUGUCCUCCCGCCUAAAAAGCGGGAGUUAGCAAGGGCCGGGCAAGACCGGUGCCAGCCGCCGCGGUAAUACCGGCGGCUCGAGUGGUGGCCGAUAUUAUUGAGUCUAAAGGGUCCGUAGCCGGCUUUGCAAGUCUCUCGGGAAAUCCAGCGGCUUAACCGUUGGUCGUCCGGGGGGUACUACAUUGCUUGGGACUGGGAGAGGUAGGAGGUACUCAGGGGGUAGGAGUGAAAUCCUGUAAUCCUUUGGGGACCACCGGUGGCGAAGGCGUCCUACCAGAACAGGUCCGACGGUGAGGGACGAAGGCUAGGGGCACGAACCGGAUUAGAUACCCGGGUAGUCCUAGCCGUAAACGAUGCUCGCUAGGUGUCACAACAGUCGUGAACUGUUGUGGUGCCGUAGGGAAGCCGUGAAGCGAGCCACUUGGGAAGUACGACCGCAAGGUUGAAACUUAAAGGAAUUGGCGGGGGAGCACAA